rnacentral:rRNA from 1 species
GACGAACGCUGGCGGCGUGCUUAACACAUGCAAGUCGAACGGAAAGGCCCUGCUUUUGUGGGGUGCUCGAGUGGCGAACGGGUGAGUAACACGUGAGUAACCUGCCCUUGACUUUGGGAUAACUUCAGGAAACUGGGGCUAAUACCGGAUAGGAGCUCCUGCUGCAUGGUGGGGGUUGGAAAGUUUCGGCGGUUGGGGAUGGGCUCGCGGCUUACUAGCUUGUUGGUGGGGUAGUGGCUUUCCAAGGCUUUGACGGGUAGCCCGCCUUGGAGGGUGGACGGCCACAUUGGGACUGAGAUAGGGCCCAGACUCGUACGGGAGGCAACAGUGGGGAAUAUUGCACAAUGGGCGGAAGCCUGAUGCAGCAACGCCGCGUGCGGGAUGACGGCCUUCGGGUUGUAAACCGAUUUCGACUGUGACGAAGAGUGAGUGACGGUAAUGGGUAAAGAAGCACCGGCUAACUACGUG